AAUAAGUGUAAUUUUACACUUCACGUCAAACGUUUGACCGUUCGUCUUAUUUAAAAAAAAUUAUGAUAAGUAUUUUUAUUGUUAUUAGAUGAUAAAGCAUGAAUAAUACUUUGUGUGACUAUUUUUUUAAUUUUUUAAUAAUUUUUUUAAUAAAACAAACGGUCAAACGUUGGACACGGAUUUUCAUGGUUGCACUUAUU
rfam:Oryza glumipatula chromosome 3, whole genome shotgun sequence.